UUUAAAUAUCAUUUAUCAUAAAAUGCUUGUUUUGAGCUAUCUUAUAUUGUGUUGUGCUCUGAUUGCAACUUUCGCCAGGGCUCAGGAUCCUGAAAGCGAUGACUACUCAUUGUACAUACCAUAUUCAUGGUUUUAGGAUAUACGAAGUAUGUUUGAAGAAUUCCGUUGUGAAAUGAUUAACUAAAAUUAUAUUUUGAAGUAUUUCAAAGCUAUAACAUUUUCUGCAGUAAGGCUUAGGGAAAAUGUUUAGCAUUUGAAUAUUAAAAUAAAAAAAAAGUGAUCUUGAGUAAAUUAUUUUCUAUCUCAAACCAGUUAAGGUCCUUCUUCCUACAUCUCUACAAUAAGGUGUCCUUUGCCAAAUUGUAGAAAAAUGUUUAUGCAUACGUUUUAUCAGCAAGUCGCAUUCGGUUUUAGAUAGCGAAAUUGGCAACCCAUCGGCAUCUGUUGCCUUAUUAUAUUACAGCUGAGUUGCUGGUAUUUCGUUCUCUUUAUGGCUGGCUGGUAUAUUAUCGUCAAGCAUUUGUUCGGAAAAGUCCUUGCCAGCGCUACAAUCGGAUAUUGUUAUCAAAACCAUCAGACAAAGGAAUUUUUUGUAUUCGAUAUAAAUAUGUCGCUGAGAUUACCAGCCAGUGUACGGUUUCUCAGGCAGAGAUCGCGGGAAGCGAUUUACGACCCUCAAAAGUCAUGAUUUUUGUAGACUGCAUGGCAGCGCUCAGCGCGACGGGACUGUAUACGAGGACAGUGAGAUCUAAGUGUGUGGCAGAAAGUUUGGAAUUCCUAUAUAAACUUGAGGCUUAAUUUUCUGGAAAAUUUAAGGCUGAAGAAUAAGUCAGGAAGAGCUCUCCUUUUUUUCCUUUUAAAAGUAAUGUUAUGGGUUUGGAAAUGAAAACAGUAAUGACUAGGCUAUUUUUUUAUUAAACUUUUUUAUUGACCAAGGUGGGAGGAACUCUACAAUUGUGAUAAUAUAUUUCUUUUGUGGUAUAAUUCCUAUGCCAUUGGCUGGGGACUACGUGGUCUUGCUGGUCGUUGCCUUGGUGGUUGAGUUGGGCUAGGAGGUCUGUGUGUUGUGGACGUAGUAGGAACAUCAAAUCGCACAGUCUGUAAGAAAAUAAAAGGAAAUAAAUCGUCGCAAUGAAAUAUGCACAUUUGUGAUUGUAACAGACUUUUUGCUGAACAACGCAUGCUGAACAAAGAAUAUAGAUUAAAUGAUUUACUUUUAGUAGGUUUACAAUUGUGUAAAGGAUAGAAAAGAAAAUGUUUUCAUUAACCUAACAAUUAUUUCAAGUGAUUUUUAGAAGGUAGAGUAUGAUGGCGAGAAGAUUAAAAACACCCUCCCUUAGGAUAUGAACUUGAGCGUUGAGCAUUAUAGACCUGCCAACCUAUAUGACGCUGUAUGCCAGCUUCAA